rnacentral:misc_RNA from 1 species
UAUCCGUAGGUGAACCUGCGGAAGGAUCAUUCAUAAUAAAGUGUUUUAUGACACUUUUUAAAAUCCAUAUCCACCUUGUGUGCAAUGUUAGAUCUCGUCAAUCUUGGCGAGAUUUUUAUACAUCAACUCAUUCUUUAACUAAUUUGUCUGAAAAAUAUUAUGAAUACUUAAUUCAAAAUACAACUUUCAACAACGGAUCUCUUGGCUCUC